rfam:Clostridium difficile 630 complete genome
UUACAAGCUAUGAAAAGAAGAGUAAAUAAAGGUUUUUUCUAUCAGAGAGCUAGGUUAGGUGAAAGCUAGUGUCAAAAGCUUUAUUGAAGAUGGUCUUGGAGCUUUUUAUCUGAGCAAGUGUGCUAGGGUAAAACGGUUGGACACGUUAUAGUCUACUAAGGUAUCUAUAAAAUGUUUCUACAUUUCAUGUGAAACAUAACUAUUAUAGAUGAAUUAGGGUGGUACCGUGAAUAAUCUCGCCCCUAUG